AGUCGAGCGAGAUCUUCGGAUCUAGCGGCGGACGGGUGAGUAACGCGUGGGAACGUACCCUCUUCUGCGGGAUAGCCACUGGAAACGGUGAGUAAUACCGCAUACGCCCUUCGGGGGAAAGAUUUAUCGGAGGAGGAUCGGCCCGCGUUGGAUUAGGUAGUUGGUGGGGUAAUGGCCUACCAAGCCUACGAUCCAUAGCUGGUUUUAGAGGAUGAUCAGCCACACUGGGACUGAGACACGGCCCAGACUCCUACGGGAGGCAGCAGUGGGGAAUCUUAGACAAUGGGCGCAAGCCUGAUCUAGCCAUGCCGCGUGAGUGACGAAGGCCUUAGGGUCGUAAAGCUUUUUCGCCUGUGAUGAUAAUGACAGUAGCAGGUAAAGAAACCCCGGCUAACUCCGUGCCAGCAGCCGCGGUAAUACGGAGGGGGUUAGCGUUGUUCGGAAUUACUGGGCGUAAAGCGCACGUAGGCGGAUUGGAAAGUAUGGGGUGAAAUCCCAGGGCUCAACCCUGGAACGGCCUCAUAAACUUCCAGUCUGGAGUUCGAGAGAGGUGAGUGGAAUUCCGAGUGUAGAGGUGAAAUUCGUAGAUAUUCGGAGGAACACCAGUGGCGAAGGCGGCUCACUGGCUCGAUACUGACGCUGAGGUGCGAAAGUGUGGGGAGCAAACAGGAUUAGAUACCCUGGUAGUCCACACCGUAAACGAUGAAUGCCAGUCGUCGGCAAGCAUGCUUGUCGGUGACACACCUAACGGAUUAAGCAUUCCGCC
rnacentral:rRNA from 1 species